rnacentral:lncRNA from 1 species
AAAUGCUAACUAUGGGCUCCCAGGACAGCCCAUUUAAUUUCUCCUUUUGUUGGCCGUGUCCCAGCCCUUCCUUCUCCUCCAGGCCCCUCCUCAAAUACCGCACCAGCUGGGGAGCUGCCCCUCCCCUAAUUAUUACCCUGGGGCUGCCAAGAUGCUGGCUCCACCCCCGCAGAGGAUGGCAGCAGAGCACAGAACGUGACAACAGCAGCAGCAGGUGGCC